rnacentral:misc_RNA from 1 species
GAAACGCAAGCCUGCAAUCUACAACAAGUAAUUCACCAAGUAUUUUCAUUAAUGUGGUAUACAUUCUUAGGGACUAAGUAAUAAAGUAACGACAUGUAUUUUAUCUGAAGUCAAGUUCGAAAUAAAUCACUCACCUCUACAACACUAUUAUUAUUGAGUUUCAUUUUAUUUCCAGCUAAAAUAGGCCUGCUAUCCACAAAAAUGGGCCUCUUUCCUUCGGAUGAUAGGAAAAAAUCGCCAUUAUUUCUUAGCCGUAUCGUACCCUGCCGCCUGGAUACUUUCCAAGCAGGACCUUCUAAGAGACAGCAAAUUGCUGAGAGGAAAAUUUAUACGAUAAUUCCAAGUUCACGGCUCAUCUUGUCUUUUACCUCACGUGAUCUCAUAAGGUAUCUGACAAGCCUUCCCCUCAGUAUAGCCAAGGUUUGAUUAUCAAAAUCUGGAGGAUUAAUGCCUGUGACGCUGUCCACGAGAACCUGCCAUCUGCCAAGUUCAUUUUCUAGCAUUCGGAUCUCUUUCUUGUUCUUUCUAUCAGCCAUAGCUAAUUCCGAGUCAAUUAUUUCAUCUUUUUGUUCGGCAAGUUCAGUAUCAUUGAUCAUAUCUUCUGCAUCAGAGAAGUUCAACACAUGUUCACCACGAGGUAAACCUUGAACUGUUUGAUCAGGUAGUAAAUGGUACUGUUUCAUUAGCUGCCAGUGUGCCAUCAAUGCUUUUGCUGUACGUGCGGGAUAAAAUGUCUGAGCAUUUAUUUCAAGCAGUUCUUGAAAAGUUUCCAAAGUUGGCUGAGAAGUCUGUGGAGAUUAGUCUCAGUGAAAGAUUAUGCUGUGAUAUAAAGAACUUGAAUCACAGCUGAACGAGAGAAUGAUUUAGGAUAUUACCGAUUUUAUACUCCCCAAAAGAUCCUCUUCAGCCUUACUAUAAAGCGUUCUAGCUUGGACUGUAGCUAUUAGUUCAGGAUGUAAGUUACGCAUUGCUUGAACAGCAACUCUAGAGACAGCACUGUCGUAUAACAAUGCGUACCAUCGUUGUUGUAUUUCUUGCAAAGUAAAACGACAAGAGAAUUUCGUACCUCGAUGAACCUGUGCAAAUAAACAUCAAUGGAAAAUUCAAUAUUCAUAUAACACGUUAGGCCUAUGAAAGUCUUCGGUCCUAAGAUUUUGGGGACUACCAUUCUCAAAUCAUUUGUUUGUUGGACACCAGUAAUCAGAGCCAAAUCAUCGGUAGGUUUCCAUCUGCCGAGAUCUUUAGUUGCAUUAACAGAAUGUGGAUGAUUUUUGUUCUUUUUAUUUUUUCUACCCGGUGC